rnacentral:lncRNA from 1 species
CAGCCCGCAUGUCUGUACGGUCUCUCUUCUUUAUCAAGUUAUCAUAUUUGGGAACAAGUGUAACAUGGUAGAAAUGAAGAUGUCUCUUGCGUGGGAGGCUGAUGCUCCAAGGGAACCUUGGGCAGGAUCCAUGCUUUCUGUUAACACAGGCUUCAUCUACCCUAAGUGCUCAGGCAGCGUUUGGAGAAGGAAGAAGGAUGACUGGAAGGAAGAAAGUUACUUUUUUUUUUUUUUUUGCAGUUGUGGGGAAAUUGCACUGAUUCACGCAUGUACUUUUCUCCAGUCUCCCCGGUCACGAACAGAGCGUAAUUGCUGCACGUCUGGCCAGAACAAACACUUGAGCUGGAAAUACCAAACUGUAUAUAUGUUAAACACAGGCUAGUUUUACAGAAUUUUCACCUCUACUUCUCAAUACAAAACCUGUUUUUCACAACUAGCAUUACCCCCACACGCAGAAAUUUUUAAAGAAAAGAUGACUAGGUCUAUUCUAGAACCUUUUGUUAUUCCUGGCAGUAGUACAAUGAAAUUGGGUCUAGUGGUAUUUAUUGUUGGGGUGGAUGUAACUCCUAUUGAAUCUGAAAGCACAGCAUCAAGUGAAAACUGCUGAACAAAUGCUAAGCAUAGAAACUCUUCUGUUUAUGAACUUUUUGGUUUUCAAUAGGCUGCCCUGAGUAUGCUUUUUUGUUCUUAAUUGAACACAACAUGGUACAAAAAAUUACUACCCCUGGCCGGGCGCAGUGGCUCACGCCUGUAAUCCCAGCACUUUGGGAGACCGAGGCAGGCGGAUUCCAAGGUCAGGACUUCGAGACCAGCCUGGCCAACAUAGUGAAACCCCGUCUCUACUAAAAAAUAUAAAAAUUAGCUGGGCAUGGGGGUACAUGCCUGUAGUCCCAGCUACUCAGGAGGCUGAGGCAGGAGAAUCACUCGAACCCGGGAGGCGGAGGUUGCAGUGAGCCAAUAUCGUGCCACUGCACUCCAGCCUGGGUGACGGAGUGAGACUCUGUCUAAAAAAAAAAAAAAAUUACCUGUGGGUGCUGGGCUGAGCCAUGAUUUUGUUCCUCAUCUGGAGGGAUUAAGGACUGCUUGGCUAAGCUCAUCCCCAGUUAUUGACUCAGUUGGACUUGUGGGGAAGGUGUGAAACCAAAAUUUUUUAUUUCUAACAAAUUCCCAGGUGUUGCUGCUGCUGCUGCUGGUUGUGGACCUCACCUUGAGAACCACUGCGUAGCUCACAGCCGUCCUGGCCAGCUCUCAGGCUGAAAGUUUGAGAGAGAUUUCUGUAGUCAUUUUAGCUGUAAUUCCCCCGAGGGUUACACUAGAGGGCAGUGUGAUUACAGCUACUGCGAUGGACAGCAGGUUGACUUCACACUGAAUCCAGACCGAGGUUUUAUAUUUUGUUUCCAGAUGUUUCAUGUAGGCAUUUGUAGGUAGAAAAGGUUCUGCUGCUAAAAAGAAGUUAAAAGUUUGCUCUCUCUCCUGUCUUUUUAUUUUAUUUACUUAUUUUUUUGAGACGGAGUUUCGCUCUUUUUGCCCAGGCUGGAGCGUAAUGGCACAAUCUCGUCUCACUGCAACCUCUGCCUCCUGGGUUCAAGUGAUUCUCUUGCCUCAGCCUACCAAGUAGCUGGGAUUACAGGCAUGCACCACCACUCCUGGUUAAUUUCAUAUUUUUGGUAGAGAUGGGGUUUCACCAUGUUGGCCAGGCUGGUCUCGAACUCCUGACCUCAGGUGAUCCGCCCGCCUCGGCCUCCCAAAAUGCUGGGGUUACAGGCGUGAGCCACCACGCCCAGCCUUUUUAUUUUAAACUCAUAUAUAUUUAUUAGCUGGAGAGCUGAGGCUAUUGAGGUGUACAAUUUUAUUUUCCAUUAUUCAGAGAAUGUUAGAGAUAAAUUUGCUAUUUGAGCUCACUUUUCUAAACGUGUUUUCAGUGACUCCUGUUUUGUUAGUAGUAGAAAUAGGGUUUGAGACCAAAUAAAGCUGGAAACACUGAGUUAAAGUUACACAGACUCCUUUAUUAAAAUAUUCCUUAGAGCCUGUGUUUGUACAUUGGAAACCACUGGGAGGAGGAUGCGGAAGGCAGGACCGCUGUGGGAGUAAUGCCUUCUGGGUAUUUUGGACAGGAAACACCUGCCUGGUCCUGAUUCUUCGUCUUUUCCAUAAGGAAUUAAAAACUGGAAGAGAAAAAUGACUGCUAUGUAGUGACAGGACCUGUCUCCGGACUGCAGUCCAGGGUACUUUCCGUAGGACCAAAAUAUUAUUACCUGCAGUUCUAUGUGCAAUGACAAUACCCGGGCCAGUCAAAUGCACUCGGUCUUCGGGCCUCGGGUCUUCCUGUUCCACCUGUUAGGACGCUCUUGCUCCAGGCAUCUGCAGCCUUGCCUCCUCACUGCGUGCAGAGUGCUUAAAUAGCACCUUAUUAAAGAGGACCUCCCAGACCACUCUCCAAAAUGGGCCUCCUUGGGUCACUCUCUAUUUUCGUACCUUGCUUUGUCACCACCUGUUAUGUGCUUAAUUAUUUUUUUGUUUGCUUCUUCUCUCUAAAAUAGAGCUAGAACCGAAGGGACUUUAUCUAUCUUAGUGUCUGCUAUAUCCCUAGUACUUUGUAGGUGCUCAGUGAACAUAUACUGGAUGAAUUAAUAUUUUCAAAGUAUAGAACAUAAGAUUGGUUAUUCUAUCAGCCAGAGUUCUCCAGAGAAAUGGAACCAACAUAUUGAUAUAUAAGUAUACAUAACACAUUAUAUAUAUAUAUAAUGUUAAAUAUGUUAAAAUGGUAAAAACUGGUAUCUUUUAUUAAAUGGUUCUAACAGUACCCAGAUAAUGUGAACAUUAUAUACAUUUACAGAAAAAUUUCCACUUGCACUUCUGGGUUUAAAAGUGCAAUAUCUGGCCAGGCGCGGUAGCUCACACCUGUAAUCCUAGCAAUUUGGGAGGUCGGGGCAGGCGGAUCUUUUAAGCCCAUGAGUUCAAGACCAGCUUGGGCAACACGGCAAGACCUCAUCUCUACGAAAAAAUACAAAAAGUAGCCGGGUGUUGUGGCGGGCGCCUGUGGUCCUAGCUACACGGCUAAGAUUAUACCUAGACCUACACUACACCUAUGCUGAGGUGGGAGGAUCACCUGAGCCUGGGAAGUUGAGGCUGCAGAGAGCCAUGAUUGUGCCAUUGCACUCCAGCCUGGAUGACAGAGUGACACCCUGUCUCAAAAAAUAAGAUAAUAAAAGUGCAACAUCUGACACUUUCUAGUAAUUGUUUAAAUAUAAUGAUAUUGUAUACUCUGGUUUCUCUUCAAAUUGUGUACAUCUUUUGCCUUUUAAAUGUAAUGGUAUUUUAUUUUAUUUUAUUUUAUUUUAUUUUAUUUUAUUUUAUUUUUUUGAGAUGGAGUUUUGCUUUGUUGCCCAGGCUAGAGUGCAAUGGCGCGAUCUCGGCUUACUGAAACAUCCGCCUCCCAGGUUCAAGUGAUUCUCCUGUCUCAGCCUCCCGAGUAGCUGGGAUUACAGGCAUGCGCCACUACGCCCAGCUAAUUUUGUAUUUUUAGUAGAGAUGGGGUUUCUCCAUGUUGGUCAGGCUGGUCUCCAACUCCUAACCUCAGGUGAUCUGCCCGCCUCUGCCUCCCAAAGUGCUGGGAUUAUAGGCGUGAGUCACCAUGCCUGGCCAGUAUUUUAUUUUUAUAUACUCUGGUUAUGUUAGAGAAUAUCCUUCUAGGCUUCAGGGCGUUUGAAUUUAAAUAUUAUUAAGGUAAGGGGUAUUUAUAUUUAUCCAAAGGCCUCUCUGAGAAGGAAUUCUAUACUGGGUUUGACUGUAAUUAAGGUAGCUGCCUUGGAGAAUACUGGUCAUUUUAAUUUUCCACUCUCCAAAUUUCACAGAAGUGUUUCUCAUUGUCAGACUGACCUACAGUCAUACAGGGAAGGGAAUCCAGGCAACAUCAUCCCAGGUUUCUUCCAUAAAGGAAGGAGGAGACUCUAGAAGGUGGUGGUGGUGAUGCCAACAGACAUGAAGUACAGGAUCUUUCAAAUGAGAUUUUGAAGUUCACACACCUUCCAUAAGGCCUACCUUCCCCUCCUCCACUGAGCAUCACGGGGUUGCAUUGUCUGUCCCUGAGCCGCAAGGCCCCUCCUCUCCUGCUGACUGCGAGGCAGUGGGGGUGGGGAGUGGAGUGUGUGUGGUCUUAGAUAGAAAAGAAAGCCUGAAAAGAAACGUAAUGUGCUAAACAACUGAUGUGUUAAACACCUGCCUUCUGAUAUUCUUAAAUGGC